ACCGCCCUCGUUUGCUUGUUACAACGGUUGUCACGACGGUUUUGGACAACCGCCCUUAGUACAGAAGGAGUCACGACGGUUUGAACCGUCCUCCCCCAUACCACCCAAUUACCCAUCCUACUAAAGGCAUGUGAGUCACGACCGUUUUUGAACCGCCUUCCUUCAUAACAUGGCCUCGACGGUUCUGGAAAAAAUAAAUUGUCGUCCCAUUUUAACUUUUCCCACUUAAAAUACAUUCCCACUCAUUACCAAAAUGCAAAGCAAACCAAAAACGCAAACGCAAGGCAACGAAAAGACGGAGACACAGAUGACUCUAAAUCGGAAACCACCAGACCUCUCUCAACUGGAAGAAAUGGAAACCACCACUCUCAAGUGGAAAACAUAAAGAAAAAUCUCUGUAAACUCAAGAGGUAUAUUCUUCUGUAUAAUAUCUACUAUUGUAUGCAUAUGAAGCUAUUCUCAAUCAUGAAUGGUUUCAUGAAGUUUCUUUGUCCAAGAGCAAAGAAUUCAUACCUACAUUUUCUGCAGGACAUGAUCAGUACAGGUCAGGUGGCGUGUUCUUCCGUGCUGAGAAGUGAGAAUUCUAUUUGGUUUGGAGUAAUGCAACAAGUGGUCAGUGUUUGGUUCAGCGCUGGUUUAUCGUUUUGGAGUAUUGUAGUAGCUAGUCGCUAAUGCGGUUAGAAGAUAGCAUAAUACAAACCAACUUUCAGAUGGUCUGAUUUUCAAUUUUUUGAGUAGUCGUUCAUUGUUAGGUUCAGCUCUGGUUUAUUGUGCUCGCCAUGGUAUAUCGUUGUUCUUGGUUAUGUAAUGUUUCCUCUGUUAUUUGGGAAGGAGGCAAUGUGAAAUAAGUGGUUGUUUUCGAAGGUGCGGAGAUGUAGAUUAUCAUGUUGCUGGUCUUUCUGGUAUAUGUAAUUUGAUCUAGGAGUUUUUGUUUGUUCUUUUCCCUUUACACUAGUGUGAGGAACUUGUAUCAAUUCAUUGUACUUGUGUGAGGCAUCACUUAUGCCUUCUUAUUAAUAUAUCUCUUUUUGUUGGUUAAAAAAAAUUAGUAGUGGCUGCUAUAGAC